GGGUUGUGAGGUUAAGCGACUAAGCGUACACGGUGGAUGCCCUGGCAGUCAGAGGCGAUGAAGGGCGUGCUAAUCUGCGAUAAGCGCCGGUAAGGUGAUAUGAACCGUUAUAACCGGCGAUACCCGAAUGGGGAAACCCAGUGUGAUUCGUCACACUAUCAUUACGUGAAUACAUAGCGUAAUGAAGCGAACCGGGGGAACUGAAACAUCUAAGUACCCCGAGGAAAAGAAAUCAACCGAGAUUCCCCCAGUAGCGGCGAGCGAACGGGGAGGAGCCCAGAGCCUGAAUCAGCAUGUGUGUUAGUGGAAGCGUCUGGAAAGGCGCGCGAUACAGGGUGACAGCCCCGUACACAAAAGCGCAUGUGUUGUGAGCUCGAUGAGUAGGGCGGGACACGUGGUAUCCUGUCUGAAUAUGGGGGGACCAUCCUCCAAGGCUAAAUACUCCUGACUGACCGAUAGUGAACCAGUACCGUGAGGGAAAGGCGAAAAGAACCCCGGCGAGGGGAGUGAAAAAGAACCUGAAACCGUGUACGUACAAGCAGUGGGAGCACCCUUUGGGGUGUGACUGCGUACCUUUUGUAUAAUGGGUCAGCGACUUAUAUUCUGUAGCAAGGUUAACCGAAUAGGGGAGCCGGAGGGAAACCGAGUCUUAAUUGGGCGUUAAGUUGCAGGGUAUAGACCCGAAACCCGGUGAUCUAGCCAUGGGCAGGUUGAAGGUUGGGUAACACUAACUGGAGGACCGAACCGACUAAUGUUGAAAAAUUAGCGGAUGACCUGUGGCUGGGGGUGAAAGGCCAAUCAAACCGGGAGAUAGCUGGUUCUCCCCGAAAGCUAUUUAGGUAGCGCCUCGUGAA
rnacentral:rRNA from 1 species